GUUAUACGAAAGGAGUGAUAUACAUCUCACGGAAGAGAAAAUGCUGCAGGCAGUGGCUGAGGAUACCACCCAGGAUUGAAGUCCCCAAAGUGUACCCUCUGACAAGGCUGUGAUGUCCUCUUCACAUCUGCAUUGGGUGCCGUCAAGAAGGUGACCAGUACAAGCAGCUCCGAUGGAAACCAUCAAAUAUUCCUGCUUCAGUCUGCUACAGCUGAGAACCACAACUACAUCCAAGAAGUGCCCUCAGCCCAUCAAGUCCUAAUUGCAAGAAAUCUCAGAGACGUAUCUAACUUCAUCACAUCAUCAUCCCCGAGGCCUGAUAUGGUCAUUCUGUCAGAAACCUCGAAGCAGGUGGUCAUGGUAGAACUGACAGUUCCCUAGGAAGACCGGAUUGAGGAGGUGUUUGAGUGUAACAAAGCCGAAUAUCAGGAGCUAUCAGAGCAGUGCCAGAGACACGAUGCAAGCCUAGAGAGGUGGGGUAUAGAGGUUUUGCUGGCUGCUAGCUGUAUAAAAUCUACUCUCUCCUUGGCACUAUGGGGACUGCAAAGAAAAGAACCAUCAGGACCAUCACAGAGGCCGCUGAGCAAGUGUCCAGAUGGCUAUGGAUCAAGAGGUGUGACCCGUGGACUAGUGCUGCUGAGACACAAGCCAGGGCCUGAUCAAUCCUGGCUGAGCUGCCUGGGCGAGGGUGUCUGAUAUUGAAGGACCUGAAACACCUGAUGACCCCAGGUUACAUCACUGAUGACGUGUCCCAGCACAUCCUGGGAUGUAUCUCUGCAACAAAUGAAUUGACUUUACAUCAGCAAGUGGGCUGUGUCCAGUGGGGCACCGAUGCAUACAAGUUUUAAAUUUUUAAUAUUUACUAAUUUUAACUAUUUUAAUAUCUUUAAUAUUUAAUAUUUGUAAUCCAGAGACUGUGAAGCGCAGAAUCAAAUAUCGCUGUGAUGAUUGUAUGUUCUAG